rnacentral:rRNA from 1 species
UACAGAGGCCCCAAGCGUUACUGAGAAUCACUGGGGUUAAAGGGUGCGUAGGUGGCGCGUUAAGUCCGUUGUGAAAGCCCUGGGCUCAACCCAGGAACUGCUUCGGAUACUGGCGCGCUUGAGGCUAGUAGGGGUCACUGGAACUGACGGUGGAGCGGUGAAAUGCGUAGAUAUCGUCAGGAACGCCAAUGGUGAAGACAGGUGACUGGGCUAGUUCUGACACUGAGGCACGAAAGCGUGGGGAGCGAACGGG